UACGGAGGAUGCGAGCGUUAUCCGGAUUUAUUGGGUUUAAAGGGUGCGUAGGCGGCCUGUUAAGUCAGCGGUGAAAUCUAGGAGCUUAACUCCUAAAUUGCCAUUGAUACUGGCGGGCUUGAGUGUAGAUGAGGUAGGCGGAAUGCGUGGUGUAGCGGUGGAAUGCAUAGAUAUCACGCAGAACUCCGAUUGCGAAGGCAGCUUACUAAGGUAC
rnacentral:rRNA from 1 species